rnacentral:rRNA from 1 species
GAUGAACGCUGGCGGCGUGCUUAACACAUGCAAGUCGAACGGAAAGGCCCUGCUUUUGUUGGGUGCUCGAGUGGCGAACGGGUGAGUAACACGUGAGUAACCUGCCCCUGACUUUGGGAUAACUCCAGGAAACUGGGGCUAAUACCGGAUAGGAGAUCCUGCUGCAUGGUGGGGGUUGGAAAGUUUCGGCGGUUGGGUAUGGACUCGCGGCAUAUGCGCUUGUUGGUGGGGUAGGGGCUUACCAAGGCUUUGACGGGUAGCCGGCCUGAGAGGGUGACCGGCCACAUUGGGACUGAGAUAGGGCCCAGCCUCCUACGGGAGGCAGCGGUGGGGAAUAUUACACAAGGGGCCGAAGCCUGAUGCGGAAACGCCGCGUGCGGAAUAACGGCCUUCGGGUUUAAAACCGCUGUGGCAGGUGACGAAGCGUGAGUGACGGUAAUGAGUAAAGAAGCACCGGCUAACUACGUG